CCUACGGGUGGCAGCAGUGAGGAAUAUUGGUCAAUGGACGAGAGUCUGAACCAGCCAAGUAGCGUGAAGGAUGACUGCCCUAUGGGUUGUAAACUUCUUUUAUAUGGGAAUAAAAUGUUCCACGUGUGGGAUUUUGUAUGUACCAUAUGAAUAAGGAUCGGCUAACUCCGUGCCAGCAGCCGCGGUAAGACGGAGGAUCCGAGCGUUAUCCGGAUUUAUUGGGAUUAAAGGGAGCGUAGGUGGAUUGUUAAGUCAGUUGUGAAAGUUUGCGGCUCAACCGUAAAAUUGCAGUUGAAACUGGCAGUCUUGAGUACAGUAGAGGUGGGCGGAAUUCGUGGUGUAGCGGUGAAAUGCUUGGAUAUCACGAAGAACUCCGAUUGCGAAGGCAGUUCACUGGACUGCAACUGACACUGAGGCUCGAAAGUGUGGGUAUCAAACAGGAUUAGAUACCCUUGUAGUC
rnacentral:rRNA from 1 species